rnacentral:rRNA from 1 species
AUUGAACGCUGGCGGCAGGCCUAACACAUGCAAGUCGAGCGGAUGAAGGGAGCUUGCUCCUGGAUUCAGCGGCGGACGGGUGAGUAAUGCCUAGGAAUCUGCCUGGUAGUGGGGGAUAACGUCCGGAAACGGGCGCUAAUACCGCAUACGUCCUGAGGGAGAGAGUGGGGGAUCUUCGGACCUCACGCUAUCAGAUGAGCCUAGGUCGGAUUAGCUAGUUGGUGGGGUAAAGGCCUACCAAGGCGACGAUCCGUAACUGGUCUGAGAGGAUGAUCAGUCACACUGGAACUGAGACACGAUCCAGACUCCUACGGGAGGCAGCAGUGGGGAAUAUUGGACAAUGGGCGAAAGCCUGAUCCAGCCAUGCCGCGUGUGUGAAGAAGGUCUUCGGAUUGUAAAGCACUUUAAGUUGGGAGGAAGGGCAGUAAGUUAAUACCUUGCUGUUUUGACGUUACCAACAGAAUAAGCACCGGCUAACUUCGUG